rnacentral:rRNA from 1 species
GAUGAACGCUGGCGGCGCGCCUAACACAUGCAAGUCGAACGAUUAAAGCACCUUCGGGUGUGUAUAAAGUGGCGAACGGCUGAGUAACACGUGGGCAACCUGCCCCUUUCAUUGGGAUAGCCACGGGAAACCGUGGAUAAUACCGAAUACUUCGAGACUUCCGCAUGGAAGACUCGAGAAAGCUCCGGCGGAGAGGGAUGGGCCCGCGGCCUGUUAGCUUGUUGGUGGGGUAGCGGCCUACCAAGGCAAUGAUGGGUAGCUGGGUUGAGAGACCGACCAGCCAGAUUGGGACUGAGACACGGCCCAGACUCCUACGGGAGGCAGCAGUGGGGAAUCUUGCACAAUGGGCGAAAGCCUGAUGCAGCGACGCCGCGUGCGGGAUGAAGGCCUUCGGGUUGUAAACCGCUUUCAGCAGGGACGAGGCGAAAGUGACGGUACCUGCAGAAGAAGCCCCGGCUAACUACGUG